rnacentral:rRNA from 1 species
GGUUAAGCGACUAAGCGUACACGGUGGAUGCCCUGGCAGUCAGAGGCGAUGAAGGACGUGCUAAUCUGCGAUAAGCGUCGGUAAGGUGAUAUGAACCGUUAUAACCGGCGAUUUCCGAAUGGGGAAACCCAGUGUGAUUCGUCACACUAUCAUUAACUGAAUCCAUAGGUUAAUGAGGCGAACCGGGGGAACUGAAACAUCUAAGUACCCCGAGGAAAAGAAAUCAACCGAGAUUCCCCCAGUAGCGGCGAGCGAACGGGGAGGAGCCCAGAGUCUGAAUCAGUGUGUGUGUUAGUGGAAGCGUCUGGAAAGGCG